UGAGGGAUAUUGCGCAAUGGGGGAAACCCUGACGCAGCGACGCCGCGUGGGUGAAGAAGGCUUUCGGGUCGUAAAGCCCUUUUUGGCAUGACGAGGAAGGACGGUAGUGCCAGAAGAAGCCUCGGCUAACUACGUGCCAGCAGCCGCGGUAAAACGUAGGAGGCGAGCGUUAUCCGGAGUUACUGGGCGUAAAGGGUGCGUAGGCGGCGGUGCAAGUGAGGCGUGAAAGCCCCGGGCUAAACUCGGGGAGGACAUUUCAGACUGCACGGCUAGAGUGAAACAGAGGAGCGCGGAAUUCGGGGUGUAGCGGUGAAAUGUGUAGAGAUCCCGAGGAACACCAGUGGUGCAAACGGCGCUCUGGGUUUAGACUGACGCUGAGGCACGAAAGCUUGGGGAGCGAACGGGAUUAGAGACCCCGGUAGUCCAAGCCGUAAACGAUGUCAACUGGGUGUUUGGGAGGGGAAACCUGACUGGGUGCCGAAGCCAACGCGGUAAGUUGACCGCCUGGGGAGUACGGUCGCAAGGCUAAAAC
rnacentral:rRNA from 1 species